AAUGAAUUUAUUGGAUCAUAUGGUUAACUCUAUGUUUAACAUUUUGAGGAAGUGCUAAACUGUUUUCCAAACUGGCUGAACCAUUUUACAUUCCCACCAGCAGU
rnacentral:pre_miRNA from 1 species